AGUGAACGCUGGCGGUAGGCCUAACACAUGCAAGUCGAACGGCAGCACAGUAAGAGCUUGCUCUUACGGGUGGCGGGUGGCGGACGGGUGAGGAAUACAUCGGAAUCUACUUUUUCGUGGGGGAUAACGUAGGGAAACUUACGCUAAUACCGCAUACGACCUACGGGUGAAAGCAGGGGAUCUUCGGACCUUGCGCGAUUGAAUGAGCCGAUGUCGGAUUAGCUAGUUGGCGGGGUAAAGGCCCACCAAGGCGACGAUCCGUAGCUGGUCUGAGAGGAUGAUCAGCCACACUGGAACUAAGACACGGUCCAGACUCCUACGGGAGGCAGCAGUGGGGAAUAUUGGACAAUGGGCGCAAGCCUGAUCCAGCCAUACCGCGUGGGUGAAGAAGGCCUUCGGGUUGUAAAGCCCUUUUGUUGGGAAAGAAAAGCAGCAGGUUAAUACCCCGCUGUUCUGACGGUACCCAAAGAAUAAGCACCGGCUAACUUCGUG
rnacentral:rRNA from 1 species